GUUUUAGUCCAGCGGUCCUUGCCUUUCUGUCCGACAAAAAUUCCGAUUUAUGAUGGUUUUGGUUCAGAACGGUCAGAUCUGGUUCAAGUUGUGGCUCGGGUUCGGGUCAAACAUUGUUCGGGUCAACACUCGGUCAAAGCCGGUCAGAGUUGGUCAAGACAGUCAACAGAGGCCAACGGUUCAGUUCGGGUCAGCCGGUUCGAGACAGAUUAUGAAGCGGUUCAGUUGACUCGGUCAAUCCGAGUCAACUCAGUCAACUCGGUCAACUCAGCCAAAUGGUCCCAAAUGGUCCGAUGUUUCGACACGAAGAUUCGGAAUAUUGUAGAAUGCACGCUAGCGAGUCUCAGUUUGGAAACGACAUCACGAAGUCGUAAUUAGCUAGCUUUGCACAGGAAUAUUC
rnacentral:lncRNA from 1 species